GAUGAACGCUGGCGGCGUGCCUAAUACAUGCAAGUCGAGCGAACGGACGAGAAGCUUGCUUCUCUGAUGUUAGCGGCGGACGGGUGAGUAACACGUGGAUAACCUACCUAUAAGACUGGGAUAACUUCGGGAAACCGGAGCUAAUACCGGAUAAUAUUUUGAACCGCAUGGUUCAAAAGUGAAGAACGUCCUUUCUUUCACUAAUGGAUGAAUCCCCCCUGCAUUAGCAAGUUGUUAAGUAACCGGCUUACCAAGGCAACGAUGCAUAGCCGACCUGAGAGGGUGAUCGGCCACACUGGAACUGAGACACGGUCCAGACUCCUACGGGAGGCAGCAGUAGGGAAUCUUCCGCAAUGGGCGAAAGACUGACGGAGCAACGCCGCGUGAGUGAUGAAGGUCUUCGGAUCGUAAAACUCUGUUAUUAGGGAAGAACAUAUGUGUAAGUAACUGUGCACAUCUUGACGGUACCUAAUCAGAAAGCCACGGCUAACUACGUG
rnacentral:rRNA from 1 species